GGAGAGGUACCGAAGUGGUCGUAACGGGGGCGCCUCGAAAGCGUCUUGUCGCGUAAGCGGCACGGGGGUUCGAAUCCCCCCCUCUCCGCCA
rnacentral:tRNA from 1 species